rnacentral:lncRNA from 1 species
UAUUUUCCACUUUAUUCAUCAUUUGCUUAUUGGCAUUGACAAUACAGCAAAGAAAAAGACAAGAGGGUUAAUUAAUGAUGCAUCUUUAGGAUACAACUUGCAAUAAAAGUAUCCAACAUAGCUAAGUUAAACAAAAAUGUUGUUGAGAUUUUGCAAAGGUCAAUCUCCCAAACUCCCAUCUUCAUAAGCAGUAUUUAAUUUCUCCUCAAAAUAUCAUUAUUAUAAGGACAUAGAAAAAUAUGAAUUUCUAGCAGUAGAUGAAAAAGUCAAGAAACCAGGAAAAGAUCCUCAAAUUUCUAUUCAAGGCAUGCAUCAUAAGUAUCCAAUGUAGAUUUGACUCAUUUCCUCACUAUUAAAGAAGCCUCAAAGUUUUGUUUCCUUCCUUCCUUCUCCUUCCUUCCUUCCUUCCUUCCUUCCUUCCUUUCCUUUUCUUUCUUUCUUUCUUUCUUUCUUUCUUUCUUUCUUUCUUUCUUUCUUUCUUCUUUCUUUCUUUCUUCUUUCUUUCUUUCUUUCUUUCUUUCUUUCUUUCUUUCUUUCUUUCUUUCUUUCUUCUUUCUUUCUUUCUUUCUUUCUUUCUUUCUUUUUCUUUCUUUCUUUUUUUCUUUCUUUUUCCUUUCUUCCUUUCUUUCCUUUCUCCAUCUUUCUUCUUUCCUUCUUAUAAUACAUUUCCUCAGGAGAGGGAAGAUUUAGGUAUCAAUGCAUCACUGAGAAGGUAUAUAGAAAAGAUAAGGAAAAAUAAAAAAGGUUGUCUUUUUUUUUUUUUUUUUUUUUUUAAAAAUAAAGAAAAUUAUGCCUAUGAGAGUUCAAAGAAGUAAUAUCCAGUGGAUAUUUAGAAAUAUAGUUCUAGAUUUCAGGAAGGAGUUCAGGCCUGGAACUAAAAGAUCAACUAAUUGGAACAUGUUAAUAAUGGGGAAGUGUCUACAGAUGAGUCAGUGGACCUAAGCAGGAAUCAGAUCAUGACUUGGCUGGACUUUAUCAAAGGGAAAGGGAGAGAAACAUAAACAAAUGCUAGAGAAAUCAUUCUGACUUCUACUUGGACAACCAAUGGGACAGAAGGCAGAAGGUGGGAAAUCAGUUAAGAGACCACCAUGUAAAUCUGGGUAAAAAGUUAUUAUGGCUAGUGGAGUAGAACAGUGGACAUGAAAAGAGGUGGACUAACUCAAAAGGUAAUAAUAGUUUUCUAAGAAUAGCCAUACACUUCCCCACAUUCAUGCCUUCAAUCAGUUGCAAAGUUGGGCUCCAAUGUGAAUUUUUUCUAAAUAGAAAUCUGGUUUUCCUCUCAGUAUAUUGCCGAUAUGCCAGGCUGGGAAUUAUUUAUCAGCUAAGUUCAUUUAUCCCAGUAGCAGUCAUUGCCACCACUAGUUAAGCAGCUUAUCUCUUGGGGCACUAAGAAAACAUGAAAACAGAUAAGUGAGAGGUCUUCUUUCAGGACACACCUAAAGAAGGAAUCUGAGAUGCUCAUUUAGGAUGUUUAAAUUCAGGGUGUUUAAAAAUACCAUAUAGCUUUUGUACUGUCUUUUGCACUCAAGUGAAUAAAGCAAGCUGUAUAGAGUACUCUUGUUUCUUUCUGUAGGUACAUUCCUGUAUCACGAGAGAGCCUAGACAUAAUCAAAGGAAUUACAUAAGUUCUGCAUACUUUUCAUAAAAGGAUACAUAAGGCUAGAGGCUGAUAGACUUUACCACCACAUGGCAGAAGGCCAACAAAAUAUUAAGCGAGUUUCCAACAGCAUAUUUCAGGACCCCUUGGAAAUUGUUCUAACUAGAAGCAUGAAUUAUAAAGUUAAUUUCCACUGUCAAAUAUGUGAAGACGCAAAAAUGGGGACCUGUCAGUGUAUUUUGACAAUUAUAUACUUGGCUUGGCUCUAGUAAAAAUGUAACUAUGGACUUUAUAGAUGAUUUUUAAAAUUGUUAUUUUAAGGAGAAAGAGAAGAUGGCAGAAGAGUGGGGGACUGACGCUUCAUCUGGUGCCUUGAAUUCAGCUAGAUAUCUAUCAAAUCAUUCUGAACACCUGUGAAUUCAACCUAAGAUCUAAGAAAAUAAUCUGCAUUUCUAAAAAUAGAAAAGCAACCACUUUUUGCAAGGUAGGAGGUGCAAAGACAUGAAUCUCAGGGGAUAUAUCAGAAGAUAAUCACAGGGGAUGGGAGACUCUGUCAGCUGGCUCCAGAAAGUGAUGUAGCAGUAGAGUGCAAAUUCUUAGAAGUCUGCUCCUGUGAGGGACUUCCCUGCUUGAAAGGUGCUGAGAUGGUGAAGUGGGGCAGAAUCCUAGGUGGGACAGUGUGGUCUCAGGAUCCCCAGGGCCACAGAAAGAAUGGGGGUACCUGAGUGUGGCGGAGUUCCCAAGCUUUGGAGUGGGGAAGCAAGCUACAAUUAGCCAGCCCCAGAGUGGCUUCUCAGCUAGAUGUUGCCAUAAACCCCUAAAUACUGCACUAUUGGGCGGGCAAUGGCUCUCUAAGCAGGGGCCCAGCAAGCGACAACCAAAGUGAGACCCUGUUCCUUCCACUGGGAAGAGCAGCAGUGGUAAGUGCAUGACCAGGCAACCACUCCCCGAGCAGGGGGUUAGCAAGCCUGGGGCUGCAGUGAGACCCCCUCCCCGACCAAGGGGGAUUACAGGUGUGCAUGGCCGGAGUCUGACCUGAAUUUGAUGCACAAAAAAAGGAUGGACUUCUUUUCACUGAGGGUGUACUAAAGAGUGAAGGCAGUGAUUGUUCAGCUCUGGGGCUGGAGAUUGGGGCAUGUCCAUUUUUUUUGGGGGGGGCGUGUCCAUUUUUAUAGAUCACAUACAACAGAAAAAUUUUUGCACUAAGGGAAAAGUAGUAUAUAGAAUUUGAGGUUAUUUUUCUCAUGAGUCUUUAAUCUUUUACUUUAAAUUUUUUUCCUUUUCAAUUAGUUUCUUAUUUUAUCAACUCUUUAAGUCUUUUUUUUAAUAUUCAUUUACAUUUUACAGAUAUAUUCUUCAAUUUUGGCUGCCUUUCACUGUAUUCCAUUUUAUUUUUGUAUAUACAUAAGUUUUUCUUUCUUUACAGUUUUGGGAUUUAGUGUUUUUUAACAAACAGACCAAAAUACACCUAGGACCAAGUCGAUCAUCUUGUUUUGUCCACCUGUGAGAUUAUAUUCUCUCUUUUCUCUCCCUUAGUUUUUCUUUUCUUUGUUGGUUUCUGAUCUCUUCGAAUUUGUCUAGUGUGUGUUUCACUGGGAUCAUGCUGAUAUUUUUUAUUUUGUUCUCUUAUUCAUCAAUUUUUUCUCUGGACAAAAUGACUAGAAGAGAUAUUCACAACAAAAAAAGAACCAGAGGUAAUACUCUCUACCAUAGAAUUAACUGAUAUGAAUAUAAGUAAAAUGUCAGACCUAGAAUUCAGAAUAACGAUUAUAAAGUUACUUGGUGGGCUUGAAAAAAAGCAUAAAGACACUAGAGAAUCUCUUGGUGAGGAAAUAAAGCUAAUCAGGCUGAAAUUAAAAAUGCUUUAACUGGGAUCCCUGGGUGGCACAGCUGUUUGGUGCCUGCCUUUGGCCCAGGGCCCGAUCCUGGAGACCCGGGAUCGAAUCCCAUGUAGGGCUCCCGGUGCAUGAAGCCUGCUUCUCCCUCUGCCUAUGUCUCUGCCUCUCUCUCUCUCUGUGUGACUAUCAUAAAUAAAUAAAAAUAAAAAUAAUAAAAAUAAAAAUAAAAAUGCUUUAACUGAGAUGCAGCCUAAAAUGGAUGCUCUAACAGCAAGGGUAAAUGAGGCAGAAGAGAGAGUCAGUGACAUAGAAGACAAAAUGAUGGAAAGAAGGAGGAGGAGGAAGAGAGAGAAAAACAACUAAUGGACCAUGAAGGGAGGCUUUGAGAAAUCAGUGAUACCAUAAAGUGAAACAAUAUUAGAAUUAUUAGAGUCCCAGAGGAAGAAGAAAGGGGAGGUACAGAAGGUAUAUUUGACCAAAUCAUAGCUGAAAACUUCCCUAAUUGGAGGAAGGAAGCAGACAUUCAACUCCAGGAGGCCCAGAGAACCCUAAUCAAAAUCAAUAAAAAUAGGUCAUCACCUCAACAUAUAAUAGUGAGGCUUACAAAUUUCAGAGAUAAAGAGAAAAUCUUCAAAGCAUCUUGAGAUAAGAGUUCCUAAACAAACAAGGGUAGGAAUAUUAGACUAGCAUCUGACCUAUCCACAGAGACCUGGAAGGCCAGAAAGGGCUGGCAAGACAUAUUCAGAGUAAUAAAUAAAAAAACAUUCAGCCAAGAAUAUUUUAUCCAGCUAGGCUGUCAUUCAGAAUGGAAGGAGAGUUAAAGAGCUCCCAGGACAAACAAAAACUAAAAGAAUUUGUGAUCACUGAACCAGCCCUGCAAGAAAUAUUAAAGGGAUCCUGUAAGCGAAGACAGAACCCAAGAGUAACAAGGACCAGAAAGAAACAGAGACAGUCUACAAAAACAGUUUAUAGGUAAGUAAUGCAAUGCCACUAAAUACAUACCUUUCAGUAGUUAUUUUGAACACGAAUGCUCUAAUUGCUCAAAGGCAAAGACAAGAUGAAUCAGGUGGGAUAAAAAAGAAGACUCAUCUAUAUGCAGCAGAAUACACAUCCCUCUAAGUGCACAUGAAACAUUCUCUCAAAACUGGUACCAAAAGAUUGGGAUUAUUCCCUUCAUACAAUGCUUUGAAACUUGAACUCAAUCUCCAGAGGAAAUCUGAGGAACUCAAAUAUUUGGAAGUUAAAGAAUAUCCUAUUAAAAAAUGCAUAGGUCAACCAGGAAAUUAAAGAAGAAUUUUUAAAAAUUCAUGGAAAGAAAUGAAAAUAAAACACACCUAAAUCUUUGGGAUGCAGCAAAGGUGGUCCUAAGAGAGAAGCACAUAGAAAUAUAAGCCUUUCUUGAAAAAUUAGAAAAAUCUCCAAUAUACAAGCUCUCCUAAAGAAGCUAGAAGCUAGAGAAAAGAACAAUAAAUAAUGCCUAAACUAAUCAGGAGAAAAGGAAUAAUAGAGAUUAGAGCAGAACUCAAUGAAAUAGAAACCAAAAGAACAAUAGAAUAGAUCAAUGAAACUAGAAGCUGGUUCUUUGAAAGCAUUAAUAAUAUCAAUAAACCCUUAGCCAGACUUAUCAAAAAGAAAAGAGAAAAUACUUAAAUUUAAAAAAUCAUAAAUGAAAGAGGAGAGAUCACAACUAAUACCAAGGAAAUGCAACUUUAAGAACAUAUUAUGAGCAACUAUAUGCCAAAAAUUAGGCAAUCUGGAAGAAAUGGAUGCAUUCCAUAACUACCAAAAAUGAACUAGAAUACCUGAACAGACACGUGGCCAGCAGGGAAAUUGAAGCAGUCAUCCAAACUUUCUCAACAAACAAGGAUUCAGGACCAGAUGGCUUCCCUGGGGAAUUCUACCAAACAUUUAAAGAACUACUAAUACCUAUUCCUCUGAAGCUGUUUAAAAAAAUAGAAAUGGAAGGAAAACUUCCAAACUCAUAUCCCUUAUGAAUAUGGAUCCCAAAAUUCUCACCAACAUACUAGCUAUUAGGAUCCAACAGUACAUUAAAAGGAUUAUUUACCAUGACCAAGUGAGAUUUAUUCGUGGGAUGCAAGGGUGGUUCAACAUUCACAAAUAAUUCAACAUGAUAGACAACAUUAAUAAAAGACCAGAACCAUAUGAUCCUCUCAACUGAUGCAGAAAAAUCAUUUGACAAAAUACAGUAUCCCUUCUUGAUUAAAACUCUCCACAGUGUAGGGAUACAGGCAACAUACCUCAAUAUCAUAAAAGCCAUUUAUGAAAAGCCCACAGUGAAUAUCAUUCUCAAUGAGG